CUUCAUUUAUCUUGUCAUGCUUAGAAAUGUGAUCUAAAGCAUUAUACCAACAACAUACGAUUGCAUUAAAGGUUAAGUGUGAUGUGUCAUUAUUGGACUAUAUCAUUACAAAAAUAAAUUUGGUAAUCUCUUAAUCUCCUACUGGUGCAACUACAAAAUUGAACCGAUAAGAAGCUGAUAACAAAUUUGCCCACACUUAACAACAGGAGAACUUACUGCUUUGCUCGCACUACAUGGAUUUUUUGUUAAAAUACUGAUUGAUGAGUGCAUUUUAAAACCCUAUCAAUAAUCGAAAUAAAUUAAUAACAAGUAUAUAUAUAAGAAGUAGUCUGAAACGUGAAUCCUUAUUUAUAGUAAAUAUGCUCAACAAAGUACUGAUUUUAAGUUUACUUUUGGCCUGUGCCAUUUGGCAAACACACGGUGAUGUCGUGUGUCCAGAGGCAAUUGAUAAACAAUCAAUUUAUCUUCCUGACCCAGAAGACUGUCGCAGCUUUUACGAAUGUUCAAAUUCUGUUCCGAUAAAAGUCACUUGUCCUGAAAAUACUUACUAUAAUAUUGAAAAGAAAGUAUGUGAUUACAAAAGAAACGUCGAUUGUGGUGAUAGACCUAUUAAAAAUUAAAACAAAUAAAGGUAUAAGUUCUUUAAUAAAUGGUUCCAAACAAAA